AAUAGAUACCCGGGUAGUCCACGCCGUAAACGAUGAAUACUAGGUGUGGGGGUUGUCAUGACCUCCGUGCCGCCGCUAACGCAUUAAGUAUUCCGCCUGGGGAGUACGGUCGCAAGAUUAAAACUCAAAGGAAUUGACGGGGGCCCGCACAAGCAGCGGAGCAUGUGGUUUAAUUCGAAGCAACGCGAAGAACCUUACCUAGACUUGACAUCUCCUGAAUUACUCUGUAAUGGAGGAAGCCCUUCGGGGCAGGAAGACAGGUGGUGCAUGGUUGUCGUCAGCUCGUGUCGUGAGAUGUUGGGUUAAGUCCCGCAACGAGCGCAACCCUUAUUGUUAGUUGCUACCAUUUAGUUGAACACUCUAACGAGACUGCCCGAGUUAACCGGGAGGAAGGUGGGGAUGACGUCAAAUCAUCAUGCCCCUUAUGUCUAGGGCUACACACGUGCUACAAUGGCUGGUACAGAGAGAUGCAAUACCGCGAGGUGGAGCCAAACUUCAAAACCAGUCUCAGUUCGGAUUGUAGGCUGAAACUCGCCUAC
rnacentral:rRNA from 1 species